UACGUAGGGUGCGAGCGUUAAUCGGAAUUACUGGGCGUAAAGCGUGCGCAGGCGGUUUUUGUAAGCCAGAUGUGAAAUCCCCGGGCUCAACCUGGGAAUGGCAUUUGGACUGCAAGGCUGGAGUGUGGCAGAGGAGACGUGAAUUCCUGGUGUAGCAGUGAAAUGCGCAGAUAUCAGGAGGAACACCGGUGCGAAGGCAGCUCCGCUGGGACGGUACUGAC
rnacentral:rRNA from 1 species